rnacentral:lncRNA from 1 species
CUCCCCCUCCUUAAAUAUUCUACUUAUAUUAAUAAAACUCAGGUGGUAGUCCCUGCCUCCUUUUCCAUAAAAAAAAAAAGACAGUACUUGAUCCUCACGAGCUCCCAGUUCAUGUGUGCCCCUCUAGAAAUCAUGCCGUUGCUUUGCUUGCAUGAAGUUUCUUCCCCCAUGAAUUGGUCUCUGAGGCGCUCAAAGUGAUCCUUGACAUCGG